GCCGCGUUCGUCUAGCGGCCUAGGACAUCGGGUUUUCAGCCCGAGAAUCAGGGGUUCGAAUCCCCUACGCGGUACUA
rnacentral:tRNA from 3 species